rnacentral:rRNA from 1 species
AGAGUUUGAUCCUGGCUCAGGAUGAACGCUAGCGGCAGGCCUAAUACAUGCAAGUCGAGCGGCAAGUCGAGGAGUAAUCUGAGACCUAGAGCGGCGUACGGGUGCGUAACGCGUAUGCAACCUACCUCAUACAGGGGGAUAGCCCGGAGAAAUCUGGAUUAAUACCCCAUGGCACAGCACAAGGGCAUCUGCGAGCUGUUAAAGAUUCAUCGGUAUGAGAUGGGCAUGCGUCUGAUUAGCUAGUUGGCGGUGUAACGGACCACCAAGGCGACGAUCAGUAGGGGUUCUGAGAGGAAGGUCCCCCACACUGGCACUGAGAUACGGGCCAGACUCCUACGGGAGGCAGCAGUAGGGAAUAUUGGGCAAUGGACGAGAGUCUGACCCAGCCAUGCCGCGUGCAGGAAGAAGGCCUAUUGGGUUGUAAACUGCUUUUAUCUGGGAAGAAAAGGCCCGUGCGCGGGACAUUGCCGGUACCAGAUGAAUAAGCACCGGCUAACUCCGUGCCAGCAGCCGCGGUAAUACGGAGGGUGCAAGCGUUGUCCGGAUUUAUUGGGUUUAAAGGGUGCGUAGGCGGCUAUUUAAGUCAGCGGUGAAAGACUCCGGCUCAACCGGAGCAGUGCCAUUGAUACUGGAUAGCUUGAGUGUUGGAGGGGUACAUGGAAUUGAUGGUGUAGCGGUGAAAUGCAUAGAUACCAUCAGGAACACCGAUAGCGAAGGCAUUGUACUGGCCAACAACUGACGCUGAGGCACGAAAGCAUGGGGAGCGAACAGGAUUAGAUACCCUGGUAGUCC